CAAGAGUGGUAUUUGUUUACAGCGGGUUAGGGUAUCGGUCGCCGAGGGCAAUCCACGGGUGAAGCGACCAAAUAACGGCUGCUGAGCGGAAACACAAUCAUUGUCAAAGUUCGGGUGAUUUCGUUAUUUCUCCGAAUCAGACUCACUGAUCGCGCUUUAAUACGCUCAGCCAAAAUACUGAACCUUCUUUCUGUCCGUGAAUACCAACGAAGUUAGAAGUGCGCGACGGUUCUAAAUUUUUCUGCUUAAAAUAUUUUUGAGUCUAAGAAUAAAAUUGUUACGAAUAAAAGGAGGUGACAUAUACAUACGGUGUUAAAAGUAAAAAUUUACGAGUGUAAAAUUGGCUAAAGCUAAAGGCACGAAAUUUGUUAAAAGCUAAUUAAAAAGUG